GGAAUUCGCAUGGGCGAAAGCCUGAUCCAGCCUGCCGCGUGUGUGAAGAAGGUCUUAGGAUUGGAAAGCACUUUAAGUUGGGAGGAAGGGCAGCUAGCUAAUACCUUGCUGUUUUGACCUUACC
rnacentral:rRNA from 1 species